UAUCGAUAUGACCAAGGGCCACGCUCACCAAUAGAGCCGGGGUACGAGAAAAGUGGUAAGGAAACAAAAAUUCUUAGGUGCGUGCACUAAAGGAGGGCACCAUGCACCACCUUGGCUAUGCACCACCAUAGCCUUAAACUAAUUAAAAAAGUAACAAUAGGAUAAUAACUAGUGUUGCUAUGGCUAUGCACCACCAUGGCCUCAAACUGAUUAAAACUUUUCUGUUAUGGACAUUGUCCAUACUCAUGAUGCUUCUAACAUUAAAAAUUCUCUUUUGAAAAAAAAAUCUUAGCAAGUAUAGACAAUAAUAUGAAAAAAAAAGAAGCAAAAAUGAUGAUCUGACUCAAUAACAACUUCGAAAAUGGAGAUAUGAAAUAUUUUUAUGCCGGCUCU
rnacentral:lncRNA from 1 species